GCCUUUGCCAUAACACAGAGGCAGAGCAUUUGCUUCCCAAGCAGAAGGCCCUGGGUUCAAUCUCCAGGCAAGGCU